rnacentral:rRNA from 1 species
UUCCGUAGGUGAACCUGCGGAAGGAUCAUAGUAAUCGUCUUUGACGUUCGCUUAUUCCGUUGUCCUCGGGACGUUAAAGCGCUCUGGUCGAGGAUAAACGACCCCUCUGACCGAGGUAAAACCUGUCGCUCUGUGUUACCUCUUUCACCGAGGCACACGUUAAAGAUUGUUCCGCAUUGUGAGUCUAACACCAGUUGUAUAAACUUUUACAACCGGUAGCGAUGGAUCCCUUGGCACGUCAUUCGAUGAAGACCGUUGCAAAUUGCGAUAAAGUGAUGUGAUGCGCAAGUCCACCACUUAUACGUGAAUCAUCGAGUUGUUGAACGCAUUGCACCGCGCCCUAAUCCGGCUGCGGUAUGCCCCUUUGAGCGUCAUUGUAUUCCUUCGGGAGUCCUUUUUACAAAGGACCCGAGUUCGGAGUCCUCGGUCCUCUGGAUCGUGUUCUCUUAGAUGCGUCGCACCGAUCGCCUGAUGGGUCUCUAAUGCCUAAGCGUGGAGUUCCUUCAGAGUCCGAGACGUGCUUGACCGGGUGUUGAGCUCGCGUCACCAAGUCUGCCUUCACAAGCAGUACUACAACGCAUGACCUCAUUGGGGUAGGACAACCCGCUAGACUUAAGCAUAUCAAUAAGCGGAGGAA